rnacentral:snRNA from 1 species
GGAUGUGAGGGCGAUCUGUCUGCGACAUCUGUCAUCCCAUAGACUGCCAGGGUUGAUUCGGCUGAUCUGGCUGGUUAGGCGGGUGUUUCCUUCCUCCCUCACCACUCCAUGUGCAUCCCUCCUGAAGCUACAUGCUUGGUCAGAAAGGACGACCUUCCUCAAUAGAAGAGGACCGUUCUCCAGUCAAGGGUAUAUGAGCAGCUGCGCUCCCCUGCUAGAACCUCCAAUCAAGCUCUAAUUGGAUAAAUCAUAACUCUGAGUAACUCUCCUGGCUUUAUAAAAUAAGCAAUCUCAGAUAUGUUAAACAUU